rnacentral:rRNA from 1 species
AUUGAACGCUGGCGGCAUGCCUUACACAUGCAAGUCGAACGGCAGCACGGGUGCUUGCACCUGGUGGCGAGUGGCGAACGGGUGAGUAAUAUAUCGGAACGUACCUUAUUGUGGGGGAUAACGCAGCGAAAGCUGUGCUAAUACCGCAUAAUCCCUAAGGGGGAAAGCGGGGGACCGUAAGGCCUCGCGCAAUUAGAGCGGCCGAUACCUGAUUAGCUAGUUGGUGAGGUAAAGGAUCACCAAGGAAACGAUCAGUAGCUGGUCUGAGAGAGCGAUCAGCCAGACGGGGACUGAGACACGGCCCAGACUCCUACGGGAGGCAGCAGUGUGGAAUUUUAGACAAUGGAGGCAACCCUGAUCCAGCAAUGCCGCGUGAGUGAAGAAGGCCUUCGGGUUGUAAAGCUCUUUCGUCAGGGAAGAAACAGCAGCUCUAACACAGUUUGCGAAUGACGGUACCUGAAGAAUAAGCACCGGCUAACUACGUGCCAGCAGCCGCCGUAA